rnacentral:rRNA from 1 species
GGGGUGCUCGAGUGGCGAACGGGUGAGUAACACGUGAGUAACCUGCCCUUGACUUUGGGAUAACUUCAGGAAACUGGGGCUAAUACCGGAUAGGAGCUCCUGCUGCAUGGUGGGGGUUGGAAAGUUUCGCGGUUGGGGAUGGACUCGCGGCUUAUCAGCUUGUUGGUGGGGUAGUGGCUUACCAAGGCUUUGACGGGUAGCCGGCCUGAGAGGGUGACCGGCCACAUUGGGACUGAGAUACGGCCCAG